rnacentral:rRNA from 1 species
AUUGAACGCUGGCGGCAGGCCUAACACAUGCAAGUCGAACGAGUGGCGGACGGGUGAGUAAUGUCUGGGAAACUGCCUGAUGGAGGGGGAUAACUACUGGAAACGGUAGCUAAUACCGCAUACCAUCAGAUGUGCCCAGAUGGGAUUAGCUUGUUGGUGGGGUAACGGCUCACCAAGGCGACGAUCCCUGGCUGGGCUGUGAGGAUGACCAGCCACACUGGAACUGAGACGCGGUACAGACUACUACGGGAGGCGAGGGUGGGGAAUAUUACACAAGUGACUCGAGGCUGAUGCGGCCAAGCCACGUAUAUGAAGAAGGCCUGGCUGUUGUGAAGGACUUUCAGCGUGGAGGCUUUACCCUAAGAAUAAGCAUCGGCUAACUCCGUGCCAGCAGCCGCGGUAAUUC